rnacentral:rRNA from 1 species
GACGAACGCUGGCGGCGUGCUUAACACAUGCAAGUCGAACGGAAAGGCCCUGCUUUUGUGGGGUGCUCGAGUGGCGAACGGGUGAGUAACACGUGAGUAACCUGCCCUUGACUUUGGGAUAACUUCAGGAAACUGGGGCUAAUACCGGAUAGGAGCUCCUGCUGCAUGGUGGGGGUUGGAAAGUUUCGGCGGUUGGGGAUGGACUCGCGGCGUAUCAGCUUGUUGGUGGGGUAGUGGCUUACCAAGGCUUUGACGGGUAGCCGGCCUGGGAGGGUGACCGGCCCCAUUGGGACUGGGAUACCGCCCAGACUCCUACGGGAGGCAGCAGUGGGGAAUAUUGCACAAUGGGCGGAAGCCUGAUGCAGCAACGCCGCGUGCGGGAUGACGGCCUUCGGGUUGUAACCCGCUUUCGCCUGUGACGAAGCGUGAGUGACGGUAAUGGGUAAAGAAGCACCGGCUAACUACGUG